GGAGAGAUGGCCGAGAGGAUUAAAGCGUCGGAUUGCUAAUCCGUUGUACAAUUUUUUAUGUACCGAGGGUUCGAAUCCCUCUCUCUCCU
rnacentral:tRNA from 3 species